UAGUGAGUUAUCUCAAUUGAUUGUUC
rnacentral:piRNA from 3 species